UCCCUGGUGGCUCAGAUGGUAAAGAAUCUGCCUGCAAUGUAGGAGACCCAGGUUCGAUUCCUGGGUUGGGAA
rnacentral:tRNA from 1 species